rnacentral:lncRNA from 1 species
CGGCUGCACUUAAUAACCUUAGGCUGCCUACGUACCCUCCUUGAGGGAUCAAGCCACACGUAGUUCUUUCCUAAAACCCAAUUCCACACUUGGGCGAUAUCUUAUUUCAUUUCUCUGUAUCCCACAUAAUCUCUCCAUACGCCGGUACAACCAACGCCACGUAUGGGGCCUGUCAACACGCCGGAUAACCUACGCCACGUGCGACCAUGCCAUACUAUCAUAAUAUCUCCCCAUACGCCGGUACAACCAACGCCACGUAUGGAGCCUGUCCCAACGCCGAAUAACCUACGCCACGCGGGACCUCAACAUCAUAUCACAAAUCUCCCCAUACGCCGCUACAACCAACGCCACGUAUGGGGUCUGUCGACACGCCGGAUAACUUACGCCACGUGCGACCUCAACACAAUAUCACAUGGCUCCCCAUACGCCGGUACAACCAACGCCACGUAUGGGGUCUGUCUCAACACCGGAUAACCUACGCCACGUGAGACCUGAACAUAAUAUCACAAAUCUCCUUAUACGCCGG